GUCUUUGCACGAGAAUAAGAACCCGAGAUAGACGCACGGUCAACCAUGAUCGUACGACCCUUUUAGCGGCACCAAGUCCGGUUCACCGGUGUCACCUUUUCUCGUCUCCACAUCGGAUCCGUUCACUCCGGUUUUCGGCUCUCCUCCUAGGCCCUCGUUUAUGGUGUAUAAGCCCCCUCGUUUCGACAAUCUGUGGACGUUGGUAGGUACUAGGUAGAUGAUGAGACGAGGGGAGGAGUGGAAGAAUAGACGAUGUCGUCGUUAAUAUAUAAAGGGGGCUCCGUUAAAGCCGCACGAAAUGAAUGGUCGCCGGACAAAAAGGAUAGGGACUGUGUUUUUCCGGUUUAGAAAAAAACAAUUAAUCCUUUUUCUUUCUCGCGCACACUUGACCGCUCCCACCCUUUUUUCACCCUAUAUAACCUCCGACAUCCGUCCUUUAAUACCCUCGACCCAUCCUCAUCGAGUUUUUAGACACUUAAGCAAAGAAGACAGGGAGAGAACACUAGAAGAGGCAGACAUCGCGACCUCACUCGAGCACUACAGAGGUAAAAUCCUGCCUCCUCACACGUUCACACGAAGAAGGAGAAGAAGAAUAAUAGUAAAGAAAAGACAAACGUGGGGUCUAUAAAGGAAAACGACGUUGACAACCCGAGGUUUAGACGACACCAAGCAAAGCAGAAACUUAGGCCUCCCUCUUCCCCUAGACGGUAAAGACACGAGCCGAGUGGUUUAAGAACGAGCUCGAACGAGAAAGAGAAGAGACACUCUAAAAUGGCAGGGGGGAAAAGCCAAAGAACCUCCAUUAAAGAAGACGACAUUUUGAGACCAAACGGCGAUCUUUCUAGAGCACAAACUGGCCGCUACCCAAAUACCCAAAAGCGUCGAAGGAUUAGGGAUCAGGAUUGGAGCGAACUCGCGAGCACUCGAAUCAAUCGGCACACUUUUAGCGCCGCAACUCAGAAGAGCACGUUCUUAGCCAACGACGACGGCGAUCGGUACCUCCACUCCAGGCUCGUUCCCGAUUACCGCCCUUCCCUAGACAAGCCGAACGGAUUCUCGGUCGGUCGCGGCCGCGGCCGUCGCGGUCCUCGCGGCGGCAGGAGGCGUCGGUACGUCUCGCACGCGUACCGCAUGUGGCGCCUGCCGUGCGGGCACAAACGGGGCCACUCGAGACGCCAGCGCGGCGGACCAAUGGUUGGCCGACCCAGACGUCGUGGUGGUGUACCGAGAUCGUACAGGCGACGAGCCCGGCGGCCUCCAUUACCGCAGCGCCGCGGCGGCCCGUACCCACUUGGCAGCCGCUUCUUCUUCGCGCCCGCCGGUUCCUUCAUGCCCGGGCUGCGCCGGUACAGAGACCGCGACCACUGGCACGGCUGCCGACGUCCGAGCGGUCGACACUGUGUCCCACGAAGACCCGCCGGCAAGAGUGGGUGCGACGGCCCUUUGAAGCACGGCAGCCGCAGCGGCCUACCUCCUUUCUUUGCGCCGGCCGGGUUCCCUAGAUGGUUGUUCGGGGCGCACCUACCACGACCCGGCCGUCCUCAACCUAAGUGUGGAGUACAAGAAUGUCAAGUUCGACCUCUCCUACAUAGCAGUUUCUAAUACAGUAAAAGAGUCUUACCCUGAGCACGUCAAACACAAGAGAGUCGUUUACCAAGGUAUAGUUUACAUUGUGAAGCAGUUUGACCAUGUAGUCCACCUUGACAUUGUAUACUCCCGGCUAAACUCUAUGACAGUGAGAGGCCCAGUUAGAAGCAUUGCCUGUUGCCUCCGGUCGCAUGGGCUUGUCCCCCGGAGUCGCAAAGUAACCGUCCAGGACUGCCAGCAGAGAACCCACCUCCCCAGCGUCCUGAGGAGUAUCGUCGAAGAGGUUAGGUCUAUCAUCACCCUUCGAAGUUACGACCACCCUUUUUUCUCGGUUUCGGCGUCCGAGGAAGACUUGGACAUGGUGACUUCCAGCAAGGCUCGUGACCCUACCGCCGGUUGUCGGGGGGAAGUUCUCCGUGUAACUCGCUUAGCAGACCACCGUGGCGUUCGGGCUCUGUAGUUCCGAUACGCAGGUGGUUGUUAUUGGUCGGCGGCUAGAACAGGUCGUACGGGACCUUUACUUGAGUCGUAGGAACUGGCUUAAGUCUGUAGCUAUCUGACAGCCACUUGACGGAGGGACCGUCCUUCAUCUUCACAGUGAAGACAGAUUGAUCGAGGGUAAAUCAGCAUAUUUAGUCUUCAAAUUAAUCCCUCGUAACAUCGACCAUAUUCACCAUUGACGUCGACGACACAUCCAGCAGAGUCGAACUUAAAGACACGGUCAAUCAACAAAUAACAACAGAACUCUACUACAUAAAUCCAUACUAGAACACUGGGAUACUCCGCGAUGCUUUAUUAAUACAAAAAUACAAGUUAGUUAAGUACAUUUAAAGUACAUACAGGACG
rnacentral:rRNA from 1 species